rnacentral:lncRNA from 1 species
UUAAUAGAAGACAUCAUAAGUUGACGGAUACCAAGUGGACUAUAUUCCUGCUGCAUAUCACUGGCGGCCGGUGCAAGAUCACAGCUAAGGAAUGGAACAUCCAAACUUGGAAACCGAGGGGGUUCAUAACAAAGAGCUCCGAUAAGGUCCGGUUGAUCUGGAUGUGUUUUCUCUCUUCCACUAAAUGAAGGCAAAUUUUCUGCAGUUUUAGGUUCUGAACUAAAUGUAUUUACAGGAACCAAUUUUGAUGGAUCCUUUGAACCCUGCUGCUUUUGGAGUUCUGCGUUCAUGAAACCGUUCUUGGAAGGUGAGUCGGUGGAUUCAUUGGUGUAGAUAAAGCCAUCAUGUCCAUUUGCUACAAGCUCUUGUUCGAGAGUUUCAAAUAAAUGACUUGUGUCACUAGUAUAUACAUAAGUAUCAUCAUUAGCAGAAACCAAGAGAGGAGCUAGAAAGCGUUGUGAACAUGAGUUAUCCAGAACAUCAGAUCUCGCAUGGUGAUACGAUUGCAAUGGUAUGUUUCUAUUACUUUCUGGCAAUUCGAUGCUCGUUGAUUGACGGUGCAAAGGGUGUGCAUAUCCACUCAGUUCAACCAUGUCCGAUGUAUUUAUUGUAUUUUCAGAAGGAAAAGAUUCAUUGACUACUGCAUCUGAAAAAAGGACCGUGCAACAUUCAUAAUCAGAAAUCAGCAUAUGUUCAGGUUUAACUGAAGCCGUAGCCAUAUUGUCGGCGGUAGAUGCACUAAAUCCAGCAGAAGUUUGAUGUGGA